GGCGAUCAGAUACCGCCCUAGUUCUGACCGUAAACGAUGCCAACUAGCGAUCGGCCGGCGGAUCAUUCGCCCUGGUGGGGAGCUUCCCGGAAACGAAAGUCUUCCGGUUCCGGGGGAAGUAUGGUUGCAAAGCUGAAACUUAAAGGAAUUGACGGAAGGGCACCACCAGGAGUGGAGCCUGCGGCUUAAUUUGACUCAACACGGGGAAACUCACCCGGCCCGGACACCGCGAGGAUUGACAGAUUGACAGCUCUUUCAUGAUUCGGUGGAUGGUGGUGCAUGGCCGUUCUUAGUUCGUGGAGCGAUUUGUCUGGUUUAUUCCGAUAACGAGCGAGACUCUAGCCUGCUAAAUAGUCCAGUCAUCCCGCAACAGUGACUGCCGACUUCUUAGAGGGAUCAUCGGCGUUCAGCCGCACGAGAUUGAGCAAUAACAGGUCUGUGAUGCCCUUAGAUGUCCGGGGCUGCACGCGCGCUACACUGGCGAAGGCAGCGUGCCUGUCCUUUCCCGAAAGGGAUGGGUAAACCAUUGAAAAUUCGCCGUGAUUGGGAUCGGAAAUUGCAAUUAUUUUCCGUGAACGAGGAAUUCCAAGUAAGUGCGAGUCAUCAACUCGCGUUGAUUACGUCCCUGCCCUUUGUA
rnacentral:rRNA from 1 species